ACAUCUUUUCGGCAUGCUUCUUGC
rnacentral:siRNA from 1 species